GGUGCCAUUGCAUUCCAGCCUGGGUGACAAGAGUGAAACUCUAUCUCAAAAAAAAACAUAGUGGUCCAAGGUGACCUGGCAGAGCAUCAGACUUGCUGUGAAGCGACAGAUGUGAUUUGCCAAUUGCUACAAUAUCAACCACCAGAUAAAAGGAAGUUUUGAAAAAGAACAUUGGGAUAAAAUCAGCUCCUACGAAAAAGAGCAUGCCACAGUGGGGUAGAAAGUAGAGAAGAACAAAGGUCACAAGGGUAGGGAGUUGGUGAGAAUUAGCCCAAAUUCACCCCUCCUUUUAGAGAACUGCAGCAAUCCACAGCGUAACUGGCUUGCAUUGGUGCCCCUGGCCACAGACCUCAGAAGAGUUUAGAGAUUUCCAAAGUUGCAUUUAAAUUUUUUGUUUUGUUUUGUGUCAGAGAGCCAAGUCCACAAAGAAAGUUCCAGAUCAUGUCUGCAAAUUCUAUUUAAACCGGUGUUAAAUAGAAUUUGACAUCUGAUAACUUCAUGAAAAAUAUUUUUCUUGGUUUUUAUCAGUCAAACCAAACUCCUUCCAACCUUUAUUCUUCCAACAUUUAUUACAUGGUAACUGUAGUCCAGAAACUACGCCAGGUGUUGGAGUUAUAAAAGUGAAGAAAGCUACACAUUUCCUGACUUCAAGGAGUUGACGAUCUGGGGAAUAAGCAAAGGAGAGGAAAGACAGAUACUUGGCUAAUUGGCAAGGACAGCAUAGUGGUGAUAGCGGUGGGUGGGUUUGGGGAUUAAGCAAAUGUGGCUUCCACACAAAAUUCUCACACUCUUUGCAACUUGCAGAGUUAAAGGAUAAGAUAUUUGAAGCAACUGCCAAUUACUAGGUGUUCAGUUAAAGACUGUUAAAGUUGUAUUGCACAGUGGUUAAAAGUCUGGAGUCAGCCUAGCUGGACAAAUUCUAGCUCUAACAGCUCUAAAGUCUCUAGCUGUGUGAUCGUGGGAAAAUUACUUAAGCCCUUUAUGUCUCAGAUUCCUUCAUCUGUGAAAUUUGAGUGAUAGUAGUAAUUAGACCAACCACCUAGGAUUACAAAGAUUAAAUGGAUCGAUGCAUGUAAGUACUUAGAAUGACCCAGUACAUUGUAAGCAUAUGUAAAUGCUAGCUACUUAAAAUUAACUAUAGUAAAAUAUGAUAUGUACUGUAACAAUGCUAGUAAAAAUGCUGCGGACUACUAAGUAUCAGAAAUACUGAUAGAUAUAGAAAUAGAUACAGAUACACACAAAAGAUGUUUAUGAUAUUUUGCUAAAUGGAAGAAAAGUUGCUUGACGAAACAGAAAAAGAAAACCAGUGUGAGACAACAUAGCAAAUGUAAGGAGGCAUGUCUGCUCAUUUCUGCAUGCCAGCAUAAUUUCACGAAGCCUAACUCUGUGACGACGUGCAGCUCUCCGGAAAUAUGCUUUGAAGGCAAAGCAGGAUAGAGCACAUGGCCCCAUCAUGUCUCUUGCCUGAGUCACUAAGUUCCUUAAAAGAUAAAUGACUCUAUUCCCUGCCUUUUCUUACACGUAAGGUAAUAUCUGAUGGGGUUAGUGAUGAUGCCUCUGUAAUCUAUAACCAGCUGUACUCUUACACCCAAACUUCGAUGUGAUUCUGCUUUAAUGUAACUUCUGCACACAUUUGAUGUGAUUUUACAAGUACUAAACCUUCACAACUCAUAUAUAAACUGUGAGCUAAAACACCAUUUCAGAGCAGUCUGACAGAACCUCUUUGAAGGACUGUUCCCAGGCUCUAGGCCUCAGUCUAUAGUCCUCAGUAAGACUUCUAAAUACAACCACCUUUCAUUCUUUACAAGCUUGAUUUUUUUUUCUUUAGUUGACACCAGAAGGGCUGGGAAAAUGUACAUGACCAUGGUAACUGUUUAUCUCUGGGUAGUAGCAUUACAGCUGAUGCAUUUUUCUUUUUUUGUCAAAGUUGUGUUUUCUAAGUAAAUUUAAAUUUAUUGACUUAAUAAUUUAAGAAUAUCUUUACAUGACAUAUAAGAAAAUUUGGUUAUUAAAAGGCACCUAGAACUCAAAUGAAGGAUUAAUUAAGUAUGCAGGGCAGGAUUCACCAGGAAUGUCACCUCUGAGCUAGGUAUUAAAGGAAUUGAUUGGUAGGGCUUUGAAGAUAUAAAGAUUAGUAGAGAUAAGAACAAGAUCCCCGUAUUUGAUAAUAUUGGAAAAUAAUGUAUCAAAUAGUACAUGAGUUAAGUGAGCUGUUAAUCCUUUUCUGUUUCUUUCUUUUUUUAAAAAAUAGCAACAAGGUCUCACUGUGUUGCCCAGGCUGGUCUCGAACUCCUCGGCCUCCCCAAGUGCUAAGAUUACAAGUGUGAGCCACCACACCCAGCCGAGUGGGCUACUAAUCCUCAGUGAAGAGGCCAUCACUGGGCACUGAAUAUCAGAGUCCAUCCUUAUUUUUUGUGUGUGUUCCUCUUGUUUCUGAAGUAUCUAAUGGAAAGUCUGGCUUCUCUGUUUCUCUCUUUCUCUGAUUUCAGAAAUCUUAUUACGGUAUCCUAUCUAUUGAAGAUAACUAGAGAUCAGUUUAAGUCUUCUCCAUGCUGGAGCUUACAGAAUAGAUGCUAAUUCUAUUGCCUGCUUUCCCAGAUACUGACAGGUAAUAAGAGGGCCAAGUAGACCACCCUGCCAUGGAUUGGAGCCAUGUAAGACCCAUCCUGUGUACACUCAGAGCUGACUCUUUCCUAGGAAGUGAGUGGUAUGGAUAGACAUGCGUCUUUUCCAAUUCUUCCUGUGCCUCACCUCAGUCUUCAGGACUCCAAGGAGGCAGAGAGAAUUUUGCCAGCAGACUGCCUUUAGACUUGACCAGCAAUACCAACUCUUCCCUGGGGCUCCAGGUGACCAGCUCACUCUGAAGAUUUUGGACUUGCCUGCCUGUACAAUAACGUGAGCCAAUUCCUAAAAUAAAUCUCUGUCUCUCUCUCUUGCUAUAUA